rnacentral:rRNA from 1 species
GUGUGUUUCGACACACUAUCAUUAACUGAAUCCAUAGGUUAAUGAGGCGAACCGGGGGAACUGAAACAUCUAAGUACCCCGAGGAAAAGAAAUCAACCGAGAUUCCCCCAGUAGCGGCGAGCGAACGGGGAGCAGCCCAGAGCCUGAAUCAGUGUGUGUGUUAGUGGAAGCGUCUGGAAAGGCGCGCGAUACAGGGUGACAGCCCCGUACACAAAAAUGCACAUACUGUGAGCUCGAUGAGUAGGGCGGGACACGUGGUAUCCUGUCUGAAUAUGGGGGGACCAUCCUCCAAGGCUAAAUACUCCUGACUGACCGAUAGUGAACCAGUACCGUGAGGGAAAGGCGAAAAGAACCCCGGCGAGGGGAGUGAAAAAGAACCUGAAACCGUGUACGUACAAGCAGUGGGAGCACGCUUAGGCGUGUGACUGCGUACCUUUUGUAUAAUGGGUCAGCGACUUAUAUUCUGUAGCAAGGUUAACCGAAUAGGGGAGCCGAAGGGAAACCGAGUCUUAACUGGGCGUUAAGUUGCAGGGUAUAGACCCGAAACCCGGUGAUCUAGCCAUGGGCAGGUUGAAGGUUGGGUAACACUAACUGGAGGACCGAACCGACUAAUGUUGAAAAAUUAGCGGAUGACUUGUGGCUGGGGGUGAAAGGCCAAUCAAACCGGGAGAUAGCUGGUUCUCCCCGAAAGCUAUUUAGGUAGCGCCUCGUGAAUUCAUCUCCGGGGGUAGAGCACUGUUUCGGCAAGGGGGUCAUCCCGACUUACCAACCCGAUGCAAACUGCGAAUACCGGAGAAUGUUAUCACGGGAGACACACGGCGGGUGCUAACGUCCGUCGUGAAGAGGGAAACAACCCAGACCGCCAGCUAAGGUCCCAAAGUCAUGGUUAAGUGGGAAACGAUGUGGGAAGGCCCAGACAGCCAGGAUGUUGGCUUAGAAGCAGCCAUCAUUUAAAGAAAGCGUAAUAGCUCACUGGUCGAGUCGGCCUGCGCGGAAGAUGUAACGGGGCUAAACCAUGCACCGAAGCUGCGGCAGCGACGCUGAUGCGUUGUUGGGUA